ACUGUGUUCUGCUGAGGCUCAGACUUUUGGGUCUGGAAGUCGGCUGACCGUCGUAGAUGACCUGACCAAGGUGACUCCCCCAAAGGUGACUGUGUUUCAGCCAUCUGAGGAAGAGAUGGAGGAGAAGGGAAAGGCCACACUGGUCUGUCUGGCCACAGGCUUCUACCCUGACCUUGUGGAGCUGAGAUGGUGGGUGAAUGGUCAGGAGACCCAAAUUGGGGUCAGCACAGACCCUCAACCCUCCAAGGAGCAGCCCGGUAACAACUUCUCCACCUACUCACUGAGCAGCCGCCUUCGGGUUUCUGCUCCCUUCUGGCGCAAUCCCAAGAACAGCUUCCGUUGCCAAGUACUGUUCAAUGGGAUCUCAGAGAAUGAGCCCUGGACAAGUAACCGGAGCAAACCCAUCACCCAGAAUGUCAGUGACCAGAUCUGGGGAAAAGCAGAUUGUGGGGUCACUUCUGAAUCCUAUCGACAUAGUGUCCAGUCUGCCACUUUCUUGUAUGAGAUCCUUCUGGGAAAGGCCAUGCUGUAUGGCCUGCUAGUCAGUGCCCUGGUGUGGAGAACCAUGGCCAAGAAAAAGUAUUCUUGAAGCCAGCUGUGGACCUGGGAGCAGGGAACCAAGAGCAAGGGGCCUUCAUUCUCUCAUCAGCCCAACUUGGCUUCUCCUUUAUCCAUUUCCAGCCUGGGUUUCAGAAGAGGUGCUCUUCCUUCUCGCCUCAUCUUCAUCCCUCAUAGAUUUCCUCAAAGAGAACUAUGUAAGCCAGAAGGGACAAAUGUGAUAGAUUAAUCUUAAAGGAAUAAAAAUGUCCUGGUGUGGUCUCACUCUUA